GGAUCAUUUCACCGCGUCUCCACCGUUCAUCCUCCGUUUCUUUCCUUCAUCUUCAUCGUCAUCAUCGUCAUGGCCCCUAAAAAGAAGGAAGAGCCGAAACCCGUUGCUGCCCCCAAACCCCCGGAGCCCGAACCUCCCAAGGAGCCCGAGUUUAACCCGGCUGAAGUGCAGCUGGAGUUCACUCCUGAGCAGAUUGAGGAUUUCAAAGAUGCGUUCCAGCUUUUUGACCGAACGCCAAACAACGAGAUGAAGAUCACCUUCGCCCAGUGCGGAGACGUCAUCAGAGCCCUGGGCCAAAACCCCACCAACGCUGAGGUCAUGUACGUGCUCGGAAAGCCCAAAGCUGAAGAAAUGAAUGUGAAGAUGCUAGACUUCGACCAGUUCCUGCCCAUGCACCAGCACAUCUGCAAGGCCAAAGGUCGCGGCACAUUUGAGGACUUCGUUGAGGGACUGAGAGUCUUCGAUAAGGAAGGAAACGGCACGGUGAUGGGCGCUGAGCUCCGACACGUCCUCGCCACACUGGGUGAGAAGAUGAAGGAGGCCGAGGUGGAGCAGUUGAUGGCCGGUCAGGAAGACGCGAACGGCUGCAUCAACUACGAGGCAUUCAUAAAGUACAUCAUGGCUGGCUGAGCAGGUACAGCGCCACCUUCCCAUAAUGCACCUCUGCUUUAACUUCAGAACUCAAUUCAGGAUUGCUGGCCGAGGAUGCAAAUUUAUCUUCCUUUCCUUUCCUUUCUUUCUUUUCUUUUUUUUAUUAUAAAACUCUUCACACCAUCUCUCCUCAUCCUGUCUCCCUCUUUCUCUUCCUCUUCCUCUCCAUCGACUCUCAUCACUUCCUGUUCUGAAGAUGUUGUACGUCACAUCACUGUUCGUUUUGUGGAUCAAAGAAAAAUGAUUAAAAUAAAACUUUAUGCUUGAUUAA